GGGACAUGGAAGGCCAUUUGCUCACGCAAGUGUUUUCUUGUCAAUUCUAAAUAGUUACAGAGAUUUGAUUCUAUCUAGAGAUUUUUUGGUCGAAUCCAAGGCAUCACAAUGUAAGGUUAAAACUCAAAAGGUGAGAGAGGCGGCAUGAAGGCCAACAAACCUUCUAUCUCGAAAGCAAAUUUAAUGUGAAAGAGGGAAGAGAUUGCAUCUUGCCAUGAUUCAAGAUUGAAAGCAAUCAAACUACCAAAAGUGUAAAGCUUUUAUUAGAUUAAGGAGG
rnacentral:lncRNA from 1 species